UGGGGAAUUUUGGACAAUGGGGGAAACCCUGAUCCAGCCAUCCCGCGUGUGCGAUGAAGGCCUUCGGGUUGUAAAGCACUUUUGGCAGGAAAGAAACGUCGCGGGUUAAUACCCCGCGAAACUGACGGUACCUGCAGAAUAAGCACCGGCUAACUACGUGCCAGCAGUCGCGGUAAUACGUAGGGUGCAAGCGUUAAUCGGAAUUACUGGGCGUAAAGCGUGCGCAGGCGGUUCGGAAAGAAAGAUGUGAAAUCCCAGAGCUUAACUUUGGAACUGCAUUUUUAACUACCGGGCUAGAGUGUGUCAGAGGGAGGUGGAAUUCCGCGUGUAGCAGUGAAAUGCGUAGAUAUGCGGAGGAACACCGAUGGCGAAGGCAGCCUCCUGGGAUAACACUGACGCUCAUGCACGAAAGCGUGGGGAGCAAACAGGAUUAGAUACCCUGGUAGUCCACGCCCUAAACGAUGUCAACUAGCUGUUGGGGCCUUCGGGCCUUGGUAGCGCAGCUAACGCGUGAAGUUGACCGCCUGGGGAGUACGGUCGC
rnacentral:rRNA from 1 species